UACGUAGGGGGCAAGCGUUGUCCGGAUUUAUUGGGCGUAAAGAGCGUGUAGGCGGCCUGAAAGGUCAGCUGUGAAAACUCGAGGCUCAACCUCGAGACGUCGGUUGAAACCAUCUGGCUAGAGUCCGGAAGAGGAGAGUGGAAUUCCCGGUGUAGCGGUGAAAUGCGCAGAUAUCGGGAAGAACACCCGUGGCGAAGGCGGCUCUCUGGGACGGUACCGACGCUGAGACGCGAAAGCGUGGGGAGCGAACAGGG
rnacentral:rRNA from 1 species